rnacentral:rRNA from 1 species
CAAUAGCGUAUAUUAACGUUGUUGCAGUUAAAAAGCUCGUAGUUGGAUUUCUGGAGGGAGCGUCGGCCCGUAUUUACGAGUGCGUGACGUCUCUGUCCAUCCUUGCGGGAAGGCACGGCACUAAUUUGUUGUGUCGGAUCGCAUCAUUUACUGUGAAAAAAUUAGAGUGUUCAAAGCAGGCUUUCGCUUGAAUACAUUAGCAUGGAAUAAUAAGAUAGGACUUUGGUGCUAUUUUGUUGGUUGAGCCUAAAGUAAUGAUUAAUAGGGAUAGUUGGGGGCACCUGUAUUGCGUUGUCAGAGGUGAAAUUCUUGGAUUUACGCAAGACAAACAGCUGCGAAAGCGUCUGCCAAGGAUGUUUUCAUUAA